UGAGUACGAGAUGCUACGGCAUCGAAGCAGUCUAUGUCAUACUUCCAAGAAAAGCUUGCACUGUCAUAAACAAAGAAUGCCUGUACCAUAACCGACACAGGUGGGUAGGUAGAGUAUACUAAGGGGCGCGAGAUAACUCUCUCUAAGGAACUCGGCAAAAUGACUCCGUAACUUCGGGAGAAGGAGUGCCUUAUUUCUAAGGUUGCAAUAACAAGAUCCAAGCAACUGUUUACCAAAAACACAGGUCUCCGCUAAGUCGUAAGACGAUGUAUGGGGGCUGACGCCUGCCCAGUGCCAGAAGGUUAAAGGAGUUGGUUAGCAUUAGCGAAGCUGAUAACUGAAGCCCUGGUGAACGGCGGCCGUAACGAUAACGGUCCUAAGGUAGCGAAAUUCCUUGUCGGGUAAGUUCCGACCCGCACGAAAGGCGUAAUGAUUUGGAUACUGUCUCGGAGAGGGGCUCGGUGAAAUAGACUUGUCUGUGAAGAUGCGGACUACCUGCACCUGGACAGAAAGACCCUAUGAAGCUUUACUGUAACUUGAGAUUGAAAUUGGACUUUAUUUGCGCAGUAUAGGUGGGAGGCGUUGAGAAUAAUCUUGCGGGAUUGUUGGAGCCAUCAGUGAGAUACCACUCUUGUAAUGUUAGAUUUCUAACUUUGUAUCAUUAUCUGGUCAAAGAACAGUUUCAGGCGGGCAGUUUGACUGGGGCGGUCGCCUCCCAAAGGGUAACGGAGGCGCACAAAGGUUUCCUCUGAACGGGUAGAGAUCGUAUCUAGAGUGUAAAGGCAUAAGGAAGCUUGACUGUGAGACCUACAAGUCGAGCAGGGACGAAAGUCGGUCUUAGUGAUCUGACGGUGCUGAGUGGAAAGGCCGUCACUCAACGGAUAAAAGUUACUCUAAGGAUAACAGGCUGAUCUCCCCCAAGAGUUCACAUCGACGGGGAGGUUUGGCACCUCGAUGUCGGCUCAUCGCAUCCUGGGGCGGUAGUCCGUCCCAAGGGUUGGGCUGUUCGCCCAUGAAAGCGGUACGCGAGCUGGGUUCAGAACGUCGUGAGACAGUUCGGUCCAUAUCCGGUGUAGGCGUUAGAAUAUUGAGAGGAGCCUUCUCUAGUACGAGAGGACCGAGAAGGACAUACCUCUGGUGUACCAGUUAUCGUGCCAACGGUAAACGCUGGGUAGCUAUGUAUGGAGUGGAUAACCGCUGAAAGCAUCUAAGUGGGAAGCCCACCUCAAGAUAAGUAUUCUCA
rnacentral:rRNA from 1 species